rnacentral:sRNA from 1 species
CCCUUUGUACACACCGCCCGUCGCUACUACCGAUUGAAUGGCUCAGUGAGGCGUUCGGACUGGCUCGGGGAGGUUGGCAACGACCACCCCAAGCCGGAAAGUUCGUCAAACUCGGUCAUUUAGAGGAAGUAAAAGUCGUAACAAGGUCUCCGUAGGUGAACCUGCGGAGGGAUCAUUACACAACGAAAAUAUGAAGGCUUUGGCUUCGCGGCCGGCUGAAAUAUUUUUUUCACCCAUGUCUUUUGCGCACUUGUUGUUUCCUGGGCGGGUUCGCCCGCCACCAGGACCAAACCAUAAACCUUUUUUUAAUGCAGUUGCAAUCAGCGUCAGUAAAAAACAAUGUAAUUAUUACAACUUUCAACAACGGAUCUCUUGGUUCUGGCAUCGAUGAAGAACGCAGCGAAAUGCGAUACGUAGUGUGAAUUGCAGAAUUCAGUGAAUCAUCGAAUCUUUGAACGCACAUUGCGCCCUUUGGUAUUCCAAAGGGCAUGCCUGUUCGAGCGUCAUUUGUACCUUCAAGCUUUGCUUGGUGUUGGGCGUUUUUUGUCUCCCUCUUGCUGGGAGACUCGCCUUAAAACGAUUGGCAGCCGGCCUACUGGUUUCGGAGCGCAGCACAUAUUUUGCACUCUGUGUCAGGAGAAAAGGACGGUAAUCCAUCAAGACUCUACAAAUUUUAACUUUGACCUCGGAUCAGUAGA